AUGUAAUAAUGGGCCAAUGUCAAAAAGGAUUUAUGAUUAUUAUUCAUAUGACUCAACCAUAUGCUCCAGCUACUGCUGUAGUCUUGCUAGUCUUGGUUUGACAUCUGUAGUGAUAAUGAGUAAAAUUGCAUUAUGCCACAGAAAAAAAUCAAGACACUUAAAAAAUAACUAGUAGGCUGCCAGGAGAAACGUUGACCUCCUUUGCGGGGUCAAGAGAUGGUUUUAAAAUAUGCUAGAUGCUCCUGACAUAGUUGAAGCACUCUGAGGAUCUGGCAACCAGCUGUUCUAGCUUUUUUAGAGAAGAACUAAAGUAUAAUUGAAUUCCUAAACCAUAUGUGUGUAUCACUGUAGUUGAAUAGCAUACAUGAUCCUAUCAAGUUGACUUUAAAAAGGGGAAGUUACCUAUUUUCUUUUAUAUAGUAGGACAACUGGUAGCUGUUCUAAAUAAUUCAAGGUUGGGGAUGGUUCAUAACUAACAGGUAUUUUCAGGAUCAUCUAAGAAGUCAUACUAUCUGUCUGUCUUUCCUGGUUAAGCAUUAAGCUUCCAAGUGACUAUGAUGAAAAGACAUAUUUCUGUUUUUUUCCCUCUAACAGUCUUUUGUCUAUAUGGACUCCUAUGGAGCAAUGCUCAGCUCUGUUGGCAACAGGACCUGACACCUGCUGGGAAAAACCAGCUUGUCUAUGCCAUUUCCAGGCUUCACCAUUCUGUGAGAAAUUAGUAAUGAGGCAAAUACCUUCCAGACCAACAUGAAGACACCGAGAACUCCUUCCUCCUUCUGAAGGAAUAUGCAGUGUUGUCCAAGAUGCUGCCAAAUAGUUUUCUAAAUCAGUCCCAAAUGUGGCCAGGCCUCCAUGUUGGGCCAGUGUGAGUAUAGUGGUGGUUUUGUUCCUUCUUGCUACUAUUUCUUCUCCCUCCACAUUUCCUCCCAGACUUUGGGGCGAGAACACCAAGCCCCAGAAUAUCUCAUACCUUAGACAAAACAAAGUUCUAAAGUGUGCUAGAUGUAAUAACCUGCAAUGUCUCCCUGUCAUCCCAAAUUACUGGAACAUGCUGUGUUUCAGCCCUGCCACCUACAUGCCUUCCUGCUACAGAAUGGUGCCUGCUCCUCAUCAAGCAGGAUGGUGCAGGGUCCAGUGUCAGCUCCCCCUUGCUGAACUGUGCUUACAUUACUUUCUCCUUACCUCUGAUUCUGUGGGCACACAGUACUUAGGUUGGUCUCCUGGAAGUUUUCACAUGUGGCUUUUUUUUAAAGAAAACCUUGUUAAACCUUGUAGCAAGAGCUGUCAGCCAACAGAUCACAAGCACUUGAAGGCAAUAGAUGCUCCCAUUGACUCAUAUGAGUCCAGAAGAUUAUGUUUUCCUUAGCAGCAUGGUGAGUGAAUCCACAACAACUACUUCAUGUCAGUUCAGUGUGCCUUGAAGAGUGUUGAGGCUACACAGUGACCCAUCUGCAAGCUUUCCUGGGCUACUUAUUGGCAUCGUUGAAACACAAAGGUGUAAAACUAAUAUUUCGGGUAAAUCAACAAGAAUAUGGCAAAAGGUGGUAAAAUAGAUAUUUUCCCAUAAAUCAUUGAACCAUGACAUAGUCUAGAUAUUUUUCUCCCCUUACCACUGCAAAUAGUUGCCAUAUUCAGCAGAGAACCAAGGCCCCAAGUAGCACUGAGACUGCAUAUAUUCUGGUACUCAGUAAUUUUAAUCACUGAUAGAGACUUUGUACUCUAUGUUACCUCCUGAUGCCUUAUGUAUAGUCUUUUUUGUUCAUUUCAUUAGAAAAAUUAAUGAUGGAAAGGAGUUUGGUUAUUCUGCCGAAUGCUGUUUGCUCAUGCCUUCCACGUACUGUUUUCUUCUGUUUACCUGAAAAAGAAAACAGCAAGCACUGCAGAAUUUGGUGUGCAUGGCCUGGCACUGUGCCAGUGAAAACCCCACCCAUCCAGCAAAUUAGAUUUUUUUUACAGUAUUUUCUUGGAGCGUGAGUAUGAGGAUUUGUAGAAAACAUUGUGAGAAGAGCUCAAAGGGAUUGAAAAGGCUUGUUUGGGUUUUAUUUGGUUUGCACAAUGUAAUUUUUGCUUGCAGCGACAUUAUUUAAUGAUGAUCAUGGCAGAAAUAAUUCCUAGUGUCAAAUAGAUACUUGCUAUUGAAGUCCUGUUUAAUCUUGCACUUAUUUUCAAACCUUUUUUAAAAAAAGCAUCAGAGGAGCACUGAGUACUCAAGAGAACAACUGGAAAGGCAAAGCCCUGGGCAUCACAUUCAGCUCUACUUCACUUUCAUGUGUGAGUUGGCUAACGUGACUAAGGGACAUGAGGAGCACGUGCUAUUCUCUACCUAUGAGUACUCAAGGUAAGGUACAGGCAGUUCUAAGAGGAUGACCAUUUUUUAACACAAACCUGUAGGGAAGUGGGUAGGAAAAGUAAGAUCUAAUAGUUGCAAUGGUUUUUUUGUAGAUACACAGUUGCAUAUUUUGCCAUGCAGAAAGGAUAUCUGAUAGCUAAUCAGGUCACAGCUGUCCAAAUGGAAAAGAACAAUUCAGUAACACAGCAAGCCCAGGGUUCUCCAUCUUCAGCCUCACUGACAUCUGCAGUGCCUGUCUCUGAUGUUAGAAAAGGGCCUUACCCACUGUCCAGAUGAUCCUGAAUCCAGCAAAAUCAAGGGGAGACCACACGUGAAGAUCAGGCACACCAGCUGCUCCACGCAGGCACGACUUUGUUGAGUGAGACCACAUAACCACAUUACUUCACACCAGGAGAAACAAUGUACUGAAGUUGAUUUUAAGUGAUCUCUUAAAAUUGACUCAAUCUCUCAGUUCACAGUAGUCCAAGUACUUGAAAUAUGUCAGUAGAUUCAUUGCUAAUAUUAUGUUAAUUUGUGCUCCCAGGUACGUUGAAGGAAUUUCUAGUAAUAUGACUAGGAGUAAUGAACAAGCAUAGAGAGAACUGAUUUUAAGAGAACUUACUUAUGCUCUAAAAAUAUGUUACCAUCAUCUCAAAGCUGUCUUUUUGCUUUCUUGUCACAGACACUUUCUAUUUUCCUUCAGUCAUUUCCCAAACUGCAUACAAGCAUUUUAAGUCCUUGUGCAACUUGGAGUUUUAACACACUUUUGCCUAAUUUCAAGAAUUAUGGGGAAUGUUUGCUGUACAUGUGAUUUUUGUUUGAGCUAUCCUGUCAAAGACACACAUGCUGGUCUUCAUCCCUUUUGUUACAAAAUACAAUCAAUGCAGUGUGUAUGUGUUUAUCUAUACAUCACACUCUCCAGUCUGCGUGACAUAUUUGUGGUCUGUUUUUCUAAAAUCAUAAUUGUGACUAUGUAAGCCUUCCAAUCCUGCACUUGGAAAGUCUCCCAGAUUUCUUCCUGAUUCCCAUUGAGAACUCCUGUGCACCAGCAGUAUUUUGAGAAUUAAAAAAUAUAUAUAUAGGUAAUUAUGUACUUAGCUAUCUUAUGUCACUAAAUCACAUGCUGAUAAGUAGCUGCCAAAUUUUAGCCCUGUAUUCUUGGUUUUCUCCAGCACUGGGAGCCUUGCAUGUGUCAGAGGGAUUAUUGGCACUUUCCCAGGGAGGUGCCAGCUGUGCUUGAACCAGCUGUGCUUCUCACUUCUGCCUCUGUAUCACUGCCUGUGUCUUUAGGCACAGUCAUUGAUGGUGAAUAUGUGCUUUAAUUUGAACUUCAGCAGUUUAAGUUCAAUUAUGGCUUUACUUACUUUUGACUUUUAGGACAAAAUUACUUCUUCAAAAGUUGCUGCUUGAUUAAACUGUCUGUGUUCAAUCAUUACCAAUGCUUUUGUCUUACAAUUUAUUUUCUCAAUUGAUAAUUACAGAACAAAUGAUAUUUAAUCAUGGUGUGUUUAUACUAGAUAUAUACAUAGUAAUACAUUCUUAUAUCUGUGUCUCAUAUAGUUUUGUGCACAAUGUAAAUAGCACAUAUUUUCUAAACAACACUUAUGCUUCAACAGCCUAAAUCUCCAUUCAUCCCACAAAUAAAUUUCUCCAAACCUUCAACCCAGAAAGCUAAACACUUGGUUGAAGUGGUGAACCCCUAACUUAAUGACGUGGUCUGUGCUGACGUCACUGGGUAUGACAGUAAAUCCACAGCAUAAAACACAGCCAACAUAAUGUCACCACAUCAAGUCUUAAGAUAAACUAAACCCUUUUCCAUUAAAAAAAAAAGUUUGUUUUCAUAGUUGGAGAAUUUUGCAGAAAUUUGAUUGUAUAAACAAAAUUGCCAAUUGAGAAUAACCUACACUGUUCAUUUUAUUUCUUUUUAAUAUGACAUAUUUCAAUAAAAGAUAUAUUCCAUCAUUAUAAUUACUGUUAUUUGACUUUUAAUCCGUACUACUGAUUAUACCUUUUUAACACUGUAAUAUACAAUGACGAAGGACAUUCCCUGGGUUAAAGUGACAACAUUUUCUAGCUUCCUGUCUAAUGUUGACAACAAAGUUCCAGUUUACUUUUCUCCCUUUCAAUAUUUUAUAUUUUAUUUUUUAUUUCAGAAUAACCAAUGAAUUGUAAAUUCUGAUUUCUGUUCAAGACAAAAUCUGAAGAAUUUAUAAUUUAUAUUUAUUUAUGUACUUUCUCUGUGCCUCAGUUUCUCGUGUUGCAUAAAGGAAAAAAGAUGGACCUUCCAUUGUAAAGUACCUUGAGAUUUACUUAUGAAAAUAAGUUUAUGUAAUAUUUAUUUGGUCUUGCUUAUCAUGCUCUUAUUCUUUUUCACCAAGUCCUCUAAGGAACAUAUUCUCAGAAGCAUGAUGCUACUCAAAAACACACUGGAGGAGCAUGGAGCCGUGGGGCUGGUGCAAGCACUUUCAGCUCAUCCUCAGCUUUGUCCUUUCUGUCUUAAGCUGGUGUCCAACUGCACCCACCCAUGGCAAGUGAUGGCAGAAGUCUACAAUCCUGUGUGUCUGAUUUCCCCUUAGGAGAAGGAGCAGGGAAGAGAAAGUCUUGAAUAUAAUGAUCUCUUGCAUUUUAAUGUUUCACUAACUUGCCAUGUUAUGUUUAAAAACCAGACCACAACCCUGCAGUGGCCACGUCUUCGUUACUACACCCAAGGCAAUGGAGUCAUCACUGGGAUCUCAGUUGAGUCCUGUCCUGUCAUGGAACAGCUGUCUUGAAUUAAAAGCAGUGACUCAGAUCAGGAAAUUGGUAAGGAAAAUAUUUCUGUAUAGGUCUAGUUUUGAAAUGCUAAUACUUUUGUAUGAAUUGAGUUUAAUACAUUUUUAAGCUAAAAAUGCCAUACUAAUAUAGUGGAAUUUACUUGAAUAUAUUUAUUAGCAUCCAGGUGGAGUAAUGUAAUUCUCUAGGAGAUAAUCUGUGGUAUGAGCCUGACAAUGCAGAGCAUUUGUUGCUUAUCCUCUUCCACAUUCUGCCAUUACAUAUCUGCAGCAAUUCGCCUUGCAAAAUGUUCACAUUACUGUCUUAAGUAACAUGUGCUCUUAUUUAGAGUAGAGUGUGACAAAGACCUGAUGGGAGGAAAGGCAGGAAGGUUUCCAACUGCAUGUAUCCUGAUUGCACUCACCUGACUUCACUCCUCCAGACAGGGUUGUAUGUACCCCCAUCGACUGGAGCAAGAGUCAGGGCAUCAGCUGGCUUUGUUCUUUCCCAAAUAAGUCCACGCAGAAAAGUUUGGGAUCAUGGAACAUAUUUUGAAAGAAAAUGGCUCUUGGCUGUGCACAACUAGAAGUAGCUGCUAGUAGCGAAAGUGUGGGCACUGUGCAGAGAAAAUGUCCUCAUUUACUUGAGCAAAACCACAUAGGUGCAACUAAUGUUACCUUUUGAACUCUCUGGAAUUCAUAGCAGAAACUAACUGUGCAGUGUACCAGUCUGAUUGUGCAUACACAAUGGGAAAUACUUUUCUGCUUGCUUAAAUGUUCUCUGUAGAUAAAUUGGAUGCCAUUUAGUAAGUUCACACACAAAGCACAGGAUAUUUUGGCUAUCCUCUUGCUCCAUAAGAUAGCUCUGUACAGCAAUGAGCAGAAGACACAACCCUAGUCCAAGGGUAUCUCACAAGUAACAUCCAGAACCUUGGGAGGACAGGAUGUGUGAGGCAUUUAGAAGUCUUAUAAAGUUUCUGUUAGGGCUGGAAAAAUUGCAAAAUUGCUGUUCAAGUCCUAUUUAAAUUCUACUUCCCACUGUUUUCCAUUAUGUUUGAAAACCUAGUAACAGUUAGUUCAACAGCCUGUCAAAGAAGAAAAAAAAAAAAGAAAAAAAGAUUACUUUUCAGUAAGUGGGAGGGCUGAUAAAAUUACAGCAGCUGGGUGUCUAUUCCUGCAAGCUUCAUUGUGCAGAGCUACAAUGGAUCUUCCUACAGAAAGCUAAUCAAGGUAGAAGAGAAAAAUUGGGUUCAUUAGCAAUCUCCAUCACUGAAAAGUCAAAUAAUUUUUCACUCUUCAGUUGAGUCCAAUUACAAAGACAUUACUAGAAGUUCUUUCUCGGUGACAGUAUUUUGGUGGUGGCUUUUUUUUUUUUUUUUUUUUUUUUUUGGCACUUUGCUUAUUGUGCACUCACAUUGCUCCCAUCAGUGAGUGUAGA
ensembl:lncRNA